rnacentral:rRNA from 1 species
UACGAAGGGGCUAGCGUUGCUCGGAAUCACUGGGCGUAAAGCGCACGUAGGCGGACUCUUAAGUCAGGGGUGAAAUCCUGGAGCUCAACUCCAGAACUGCCUUUGAUACUGCAUCGCUUGAAUCCAGGAGAGGUGAGUGGAAUUCCGAGUGUAGAGGUGAAAUUCGUAGAUAUUCGGAAGAACACCAGUGGCGAAGGCGGCUCACUGGACUGGUAUUGACGCUGAGGUGCGAAAGCGUGGGGAGCAAACAGG